CAUGCCACUAGUCUCUUUACUAAGCUGGUUCCCGGCUCCCUUUGCUCCCGCCAACUUGCGAUAUGCGAGACCGGGCCCAGCUUACUUCUGGUACCAGAUUUCCAGUGACAUGCGUAUAUUCAAUAACCAGUUCUGGUUCCAAACUGC